rnacentral:rRNA from 1 species
GACUGGAUAUGAAGUUUUGAGGCAUCUCGAAACUUUUAAAAGACCCGCAAGUAAUGCUGAGAGAUGGGCUUGCGGCACAUUAGUUAGUUGGUAAGGUAAUGGCUUACCAAGACUAUGAUGUGUAGCUGGACUGAGAGGUUGAACGGCCACAUUGGGACUGAGAUACGGCCCAAACUCCUACGGGAGGCAGCAGUAAGGAAUUUUCGGCAAUGGAGGAAACUCUGACCGAGCAACGCCGCGUGAACGAUGAAGUAUUUAGGUACGUAAAGUUCUUUUAUUAAAGAAGAAAAAAUGAUGGAAAAAUCAUUCUGACGGUAUUUAAUGAAUAAGCCCCGGCUAACUAUGUGCCAGCAGCUGCGGUAAUACAUGGGGGGGCAAGCGUUAUCCGGAUUUAUUGGGCGUAAAGGGUGCGUAGGCGGUUAAAUAAGUCUAUGGUAUAAGUUCAACGCUUAACGUUGUGAUGCUAUAGAAACUGUUUGACUAGAGUUGGAUAGAGGCAAGUGGAAUUCCAUGUGUAGCGGUAAAAUGCGUAAAUAUAUGGAGGAACACCAGUAGCGAAGGCGGCUUGCUGGGUCUUAACUGACGCUGAGGCACGAAAGCGUGGGGAGCAAACAGGAUUAGAUACCCUGGUAGUCCACGCCGUAAACGAUGAGUACUAAGUGUUGGGUUAAACCAGUGCUGAAGUUAACACAUUAAGUACUCCGCCUGAGUAGUACGUACGCAAGUAUGAAACUUAAAGGAAUUGACGGGACUCCGCACAAGNNNNNNNNNNNNNNNNUUAAUCGAGAUACACGAAACCUUACCAGGUCUUGACAUACUCUGCAAAGCUGUAGAAAUAUAGUGGAGGUUAUCAGGGAUACAGGUGGUGCAUGGUUGUCGUCAGCUCGUGUCGUGAGAUGUUGGGUUAAGUCCCGCAACGAGCGCAACCCUUAUCACUAGUUACCAUCAUUUAGUUGGGCACUUUAGUGAGACUGCCAAUGAUAAAUUGGAGGAAGGUGGGGAUUACGUCAAAUCAUCAUGCCCCUUAUGACCUGGGCUACAAACGUGAUACAAUGGCUGUUACAAAAGUAGCUGAAACGUGAGUUUUUAGCAAAUCUCAAAAAAACAGUCUCAGUUCGGAUUGAAGUCUGCAACUCGACUUCAUGAAGUCGGAAUCGCUAGUAAUCGCGAAUCAGCAUGUCGCGGUGAAUAGCUUCUCGGG